GCCAGUAUAGCUUAAUGGUAAAGCACAUGCUUAGCAUGCACAAGGUCCUGAGUUCAAGCCCCAGUACCUCCA
rfam:Camelus ferus unplaced genomic scaffold scaffold2548, whole genome shotgun sequence.